UACGGAGGGAGCUAGCGUUGUUCGGAAUUACUGGGCGUAAAGCGCACGUAGGCGGCUAUUCAAGUCGGGGGUGAAAGCCCGGGGCUCAACCCCGGAACUGCCCUCGAAACUAGGUAGCUAGAAUCUUGGAGAGGCGAGUGGAAUUCCGAGUGUAGAGGUGAAAUUCGUAGAUAUUAGGAAGAACACCAGUGGCGAAGGCGGCUCACUGGCCCGGUACUGACGCUGAGGCGCGAAAGCGUGGGGAGCAAACAGG
rnacentral:rRNA from 1 species